AAGGAGAAGGAGCCGUGCACAACGAUGGCCUCCUGCUCGGAGCCCACGUUCUUCAGCUGACCCUCCUCGUCCUUCUUGGUACCGUCGCUGAGCUCCGAACUGUCGGAGAAUAAGGGUUUAGUCCUUGUUAACUGAGGGGUCCAACGUCGGAAUCAGAUCGCAGGAUGGUGACAUCAGAUGGAGCAGCCAGGGCCACAGCGAAGAGGGCGAACAGGACGAUGGCGAAUUUCAUUUUGAAGACGUUGUUGAUCGUUGAAGACUCAAAGAUUACUAUGCUGUUAAGGAGGCUAUUCUCAGUUCAUUUAUAGUCCGGCUCUUUUGGCCUAAGUUUUGCCCACUCGCGUCACAACAAUCAAAACUAGUUUCGGCUAAGGUAAGCUUAAAACUUGAAAUGCUUAAUUUCAGCAAAUAUAUAUGCAGAUGGAAAUUUAAACUAUACAAACAAA